rnacentral:rRNA from 1 species
AUACGGAGGGGGUUAGCGUUGUUCGGAAUUACUGGGCGUAAAGCGCACGUAGGCGGACUGGAAAGUUGGGGGUGAAAUCCCGGGGCUCAACCCCGGAACUGCCUCCAAAACUUCCAAUCUAGAGAUCGAGAGAGGUAAGUGGAAUUCCUAGUGUAGAGGUGAAAUUCGUAGAUAUUAGGAGGAACACCAGUGGCGAAGGCGGCUUACUGGCUCGAUACUGACGCUGAGGUGCGAAAGCGUGGGGAGCAAACAGGAUUAGAAACCCCAGUAGUCC